UACAGAAUGGCAUGGUUUUGCAAUUUGAUCGGCGUCAAACUACAAGGCCAGUGGAAUCUAUGACGGGGUUGACCGGAAAUCCUGUUCAUACUGUGCAUUCCCUUACAUCUCCUACACUUGGUGAUGGCAUUAGAAGUGUUCUUUCUGCAUCUUCAGUAGGCUUGUGCCACUGGAACUUUGGUAGUAGUGACGUAAGGCCGUGCUUGGUCCCUGAGUCAGAGAAUCAAGGAAUUUGUAUAUCUCUCGCUUGUGGAGAUAGAAAUGAUGACAUAGUUGCCUCUUUCCGUCCUAAACUGGAGAUCUCUGGUGAUAUGGCUGCUUCUCAAGUAUUGCCCACUCCAGUUUCUACAAUGGAGCAAGCAGUAUACGG
rnacentral:misc_RNA from 1 species